rfam:Gossypium raimondii Chr04_contig_696, whole genome shotgun sequence.
AAUUUGUGGUGCGGGCAUUUUUGAAUCAACAUUUUAAAACAUUUUCAUGCCUCAUAGAAGCUUUCUCCCUCCAUCUCUCUAAAGACAAAAAUCUCUCUUCUCAGUU